UCACAGUGAGGUUUAAUUUGGGUUUCGAUUUGCAUGUGUGUAAGGAACAACUGAAAUAUCUUGUAUUUUCAACUGUAUAGUUAAUAGUCCCUCUGCUAAGGAUAAAGCACACUCCAUUAUAAUUUAAAGCUAUCUUUAUUCUAAUUGUUUACAGUAUUCUUUUCGUAGAGGUAAAUUUGUAUUCCAGUAAUCAUCAUCAUCAUUAUAUCAUAAGCCUCUGACAUGCAAUAUUGCUAAUCUGCUGUAUCCCUUAGUUUGCCACAGUUCAUUGGCACUAUUAUUGAUAUUGAUGGCUUUAUUUUUUCCAGACAUUAAGCGAGCAAUUCAUCAAGAGAACAACAAAGACUGGAAUAGAAAGAUAAAACAUCCAGAAAUGCAUCCAGGAUGAUCCUGGCUACUGUGCAUCCCCACAGUCCUGUUCCAAGGCUCCCUGCACCCCACAUGUGGCACUGGA
rnacentral:lncRNA from 1 species